rnacentral:rRNA from 1 species
UACAGAGGGUGCAAGCGUUAAUCGGAAUUACUGGGCGUAAAGCGUGUGUAGGCGGAUGCCUAAGUACCUUGUGAAAUCCCACGGCUCACCCGUGGAACUGCUCGGUAUACUGGGUGUCUUGAGCCACUUAGGGGCUACCGGAACAAAUGGUGGAGCGGUGAAAUGCGUAGAUAUCAUUUGGAACGCCAAUGGUGAAAACAGGUAGCUGGGAGUGUGCUGACGCUGAGACACGAAAGCCAGGGGAGCAAACGGG